rnacentral:rRNA from 1 species
UACGUAGGUGACAAGCGUUGUCCGGAUUUACUGGGCGUAAAGAGCGCGCAGGCGGUCGUUCAAGUCGAGUGUGAAAGCCCCCGGCUCAACUGGGGAGGGUCACUCGAUACUGAUCGACUCGAAGGCAGGAGAGGGUAGUGGAGUUCCCGGUGUAGUGGUGAAAUGCGUAGAUAUCGGGAGGAACACCAGUGGCGAAGGCGACUUCCUGGCCUGUUCUUGACGCUGAGGCGCGAAAGCUAGGGGAGCAAACGGG